UGCUACCAAGCCAACUAUAAUAGCAGAG
rnacentral:piRNA from 1 species